rnacentral:snoRNA from 1 species
AACGCAAAAUUCCAUUGUCUGAUUCGACUUAUGUCUUAAUUGGUCAUUCAAGUACAGCAAAGGAAAUAUCUUUUUAAAAUUCGGGUAAACUUGGUGAUUGUCUUGGAUUCUGUCAAAGAAAAGAAAC